rnacentral:tRNA from 1 species
GUCCCGUUCGUCUAGAGGCCUAGGACACCGCCCUUUCACGGCGGUAACAGGGGUUCGACUCCCCCUACGGAUACCA